ACUAAGGGGAUGUAGAGGGACACAUUUAGAGUACAGAUCUUCUCCGUGCAAUAAUAGAGGUGUGGAUACAUGAUUCUACUCUUAAGUUAGAAACCACAGAACUACACAUUCUGAAGAGUGAGUUUCUAUGAAUGCUGGCCAAAUAACAACAAAAAUCCAUCAACCAAAAUGUUGGAAGACUCCACGAUGGAAUGUAGAACUGUGAUAAAUGAAUCUAACUGCAUGAAAAAUUAUGACAUAACUGCACUGAAAGGGUGGGGAGAAAAUGAGCUGACCUAAUUAACUUUGGAAAGUGAUGUUCUGACUAGAAAUUGUAAGGCUAACAACAAAAAUAAACCCUGGACUCUAAUCGGAAGGUUUGUUUCUCAUGGGCACACAGUUACUGCUAUCCACCCAUGGAACAUACAUUAUCACGUGGAUUCCAGGAAAGGAAUACAGGUAUAGAACACAAAAGUGAGUCGGACAGACAAGGUCAGCAAAGUUGGAAAAAUUAGCUCCAAGAUUUCUCCAUCAAAAGCAUUGUCCUUAGAGCUAUCAAAUCUCCUCUGUACUAACUCCCUUCCAGAUCCAGUAAGGGCUCAAUUCUUGAGACAAGGUUGUCCCUAUGUUGACCAACAUGACGUCUGAGGUAACUGAAAGUGGAGAGAUAGGUCACUGGAAAAGUUAGACAAAGGCCAAAUCAUGAGUGGUCUUGAAUACAUGUCAAAGAACUUGCCUUUAGCCUCUAGGCUACUGUCUCCCACACUUAAACACUACCUUACUCAUCUGCCAGUCACAUAACUCCUGGACUAUUAGUUACUUAAUGUUUUCCUUUAAGUAUCAAUGCUUUAAUUUCAGAAGGAAGCUUUACUUCACGAUGAUAAAUAAAAAGCCAGCAUUAUUGGCCACAAGUAGAAGGCAUUAGUAGGCAAAAAAUAUAAACCAUUAUUAAAUUUUUAAAAAGUAAAAGUGAAAUGCAAAUAAAGUAUUCUUGGAAGUAGGAACACUAACAAUUAGCACAUCUGUUACAUGGUCAUCACAGCAGCCUUGAAAAUGAGGCAUUUCAAUGUUUCAGUAUCUUCAAAUCCCCUGAAGUCAUGACAUGCCUUUAGCCUUACUCAGUUCACUGAUACUAGUGAUUGGUCAUUCAAUGGAAAACAACAGUUA